GGAAUAUUGGACAAUGGGGGCAACCCUGAUCCAGCAAUGCCGCGUGUGUGAAGAAGGCCUGCGGGUUGUAAAGCACUUUCAGUGGGGAGGAAGACCUCGUUGUUAAUACCAGCGAGUGAUGACGUUACCCACAGAAGACUCACCGGCUAACUCUGUGCCAGCAGCCGCGGUAAUACAGAGGGUGCAAGCGUUAAUCGGAAUUACUGGGCGUAAAGCGCACGUAGGUGGAUAAUCAGGUUGGAUGUGAAAGCCCCGGGCUUAACUCGGGAAUGCCAUUCAAAACCGAUUGUCUAGAGUACAGUAGAGGAAAGUGGAAUUUCCGGUGUAGCGGUGAAAUGCGUAGAUAUCGGAAGGAACACCAGUGGCGAAGGCGACUUUCUGGACUGAUACUGACACUGAGGUGCGAAAGCGUGGGGAGCAA
rnacentral:rRNA from 1 species